rnacentral:rRNA from 1 species
GUGAGCCGUCCUCUUUAUGCUGAGAAGGGUACAUCGCGCCGUGACACUUUCUGUGGUUACUGCUCCCGGUCAGGUCACCCAGAGUCUGAUUGUCGCCGGAAGAAGCGAGACCAGAGAUGCUCCCCUUCCAGUGGCCCUCCUGCGUCUUCCUCGACUCAGUCACUCACUGACCAGGACAUUGUACGCCUCAAGCGUCUACUUGCCUCCUCUGGCUCCUCGUCGACU